CACAUCCAGCUUGAGUCCACCAGACAACAAUUUUGCUCCUCAGUAAGGUCUUCUGGAAAGCAGAGCCAGAGGCAGGGAUUAAAGCACUAACCCUUAACUUGGGAGGUAAAAAUCCAGAGAGAUUACAUGGUGGGCAGAGAAAGAGCAGCUGAAACACGUGACGGGUGACACGGUGUGAAUAGCUGUGCUGCGCCGGCACUCUGGAGUGGGAGGAGAAAGGCAUAGCCUAGGAGUCAGCGGUGGAAGAGAAAGCUUAUUGGCUCAGAUUGAGGAAGACAUCUAAGUCAAUGGAGAAAACACCACUAACGGCUGAGGCCUUCAUCCUUGCACUAGAAGCUACAUUAUCUCCAGCUUUCAGCCCUUUGAACUACAUCACCAGCUUUCCUGAAUUUUACAGAGGGCAGAUCAUGGGACUUCUCAGCCUCUAAACUCAUGUAAGCCAAUAGCUUACAAUAAAUCUCUUUCAA